rnacentral:rRNA from 1 species
UGGGGAAUAUUGCACAAUGGGCGCAAGCCUGAUGCAGCGACGCCGCGUGAACGAUGAAGGUCUUCGGAUCGUAAAGUUCUGUUGCAGGGGAAGAUAAUGACGGUACCCUGUGAGGAAGCCCCGGCUAACUACGUGCCAGCAGCCGCGGUAAUACGUAGGGGGCUAGCGUUAUCCGGAUUUACUGGGCGUAAAGGGUGCGUAGGUGGUCUUUCAAGUCGGUGGUUAAAGGCUACGGCUCAACCGUAGUUAGCCUCCGAAACUGGAAGACUUGAGUGCAGGAGAGGAAAGUGGAAUUCCCAGUGUAGCGGUGAAAUGCGUAGAUAUUGGGAGGAACACCAGUAGCGAAGGCGGCUUUCUGGACUGCAACUGACACUGAGGCACGAAAGCGUGGGUAGCAAACAGG